rnacentral:rRNA from 1 species
GGCUUGGUAAUUGGAAUGAGGGAGAGUUAAACGGACCAUCGAGUAUCCAUUGGAGGGCAAGUCUGGUGCCAGCAGCUGCGGUAAUACCAGCUCCAAUAGCGUAUAUUAAAGUUGUUGCAGUUAAAAAGCUCGUAGUUGGACUUGUGUGCGCUGUCCGCGGGUGGCCUGCGCCCAAAAGGGCGUUUCGGUUCGGCCCCGGUGGCGCCUUGAAAUCUGCAGCUGGGGGGACGUUGGCCUUAACUGGUCGGCGACCGCACGCCGGCUGCUCGGUUACUGUGAGAAAAUUAGAGUGUUCAAGGCAGGCAUUGGGUGCAAUUGAAUACAUUAGCAUGGAAUAAUAAAAUAUGGCUCCUGCCGUAUUUUGUUGGUUUUGACUGGUGGGAGUAAUGAUUGAUAGGGACGGUUGGGGGUGCUAGUAUUGAGCGGCCAGAGGUGAAAUUCAUGGAUUCGCUCAAGACUAACUUAUGCGAAAGCAUUCACCAAGGACGUCCUCUUUAAUCAAGAACGAAAGUUGGGGGAUCGAAGACGAUCAGAUACCGUCGUAGUCUCAACCAUAAACUAUGUCGACUUGGGAUCGGCGGUAGUUUUUUCAUUAAGACACUGUCGGGACCACGGGAGAAAUCAAAGUGUCUGGACUCUGGGGGAAGUAUGGUCGCAAGGCUGAAACUUGAAGGAAUUGACGGAAGGGCACCACCAGGAGUGGAGCCUGCGGCUUAAUUUGACCCAACACGGGGAAACUUACCAGGUCCAGAGAUGUAGAGGAUUGACAGAUUGAAGCUCUUUCUUGAUCACUUCGGUGGUGGUGCAUGGCCGUUCUUAGUUGGUGGAGUUAUUUGUCUGGUUAAUUCCGUUAACGAACGAGACCUCAGCCUGCUAGUGUAGUCGGCUGGAUUGCCUUUGGCGAUCCGUGAUUUCGACUUCUUAGAGGGACAAUCGACGCGCAGUCGAUGGAAGUUUGAGGCAAUAACAGGUCUGUGAUGCCCUUAGAUGUUCUGGGCCGCACGCGCGCUACACUGCUGGGCUCAGCGAGUUUUACUUGGCCGAGAGGCCCGGUUAAUCUUGUGAAAUCCCAGCGUGCUUGGGCUCGCCUCCUGCAACUGGAGGCGCCAACGAGGAAUUCCUAGUAGACGCAGGUCAUCAACCUGCAUCGAUUACGUCCCUGCCCUUUGUACACACCGCCCGUCGUUCCAUAAGAGUGAGGCAUCCGGUGAAUUCUCGGGAGAGCCUGGGCGUGGCCAGCAAUGGUCUGCUCGGGUUUGAACUUGCAUAAACUUGGUGCCUAUGAUUAGGGAAAAGUCGUAACAAGGUUUCCGUAGGUGAUCCUGCGGAAG